rnacentral:rRNA from 1 species
GGAUGGGCAUGCGUACCAUUAGUUAGUUGGUAAGGUAACGGCUUACCAAGACGAUGAUGGUUAGGGGGCCUGAGAGGGUGAUCCCCCACACUGGUACUGAGAUACGGACCAGACUCCUACGGGAGGCAGCAGUAGGGAAUAUUGGUCAAUGGAGGAGACUCUGAACCAGCCAUGCCGCGUGAGUGAAGAAGGCCCUUGGGUUGUAAAGCUCUUUCGUCGGGGAAGAAAAUGACUGUACCCGAAUAAGAAGGUCCGGCUAACUUCGUGCCAGCAGCCGCGGUAAUACGAAGGGACCUAGCGUAGUUCGGAAUUACUGGGCUUAAAGAGUUCGUAGGUGGUUGAAAAAGUUGGUGGUGAAAUCCCAGAGCUUAACUCUGGAACUGCCAUCAAAACUUUUCAGCUAGAGUAUGAUAGAGGAAAGCAGAAUUUCUAGUGUAGAGGUGAAAUUCGUAGAUAUUAGAAAGAAUACCAAUUGCGAAGGCAGCUUUCUGGAUCAUUACUGACACUGAGGAACGAAAGCAUGGGUAGCGAAGAGGAUUAGAUACCCUCGUAGUCCAUGCCGUAAACGAUGUGUGUUAGACGUUGGAAAUUUAUUUUCAGUGUCGCAGCGAAAGCGAUAAACACACCGCCUGGGGAGUACGACCGCAAGGUUAAAACUCAAAUGAAUUGACGGGGACCCGCACAAGUAGUGGAGCAUGUGGUUUAAUUCGAAGAUACGCGCAGAACCUUACCAACACUUGACAUGUUCGUCGCGACUCUAAGAGAUUAGAGUUUUCGGUUCGGCCGGACGAAACACAGGUGCUGCAUGGCUGUCGUCAGCUCGUGUCGUGAGAUGUUGGGUUAAGUCCCGCAACGAGCGCAACCCUCACUUUUAGUUGCCAUCAUUAAGUUGGGCACUCUGAAAGAACUGCCAGUGAUAAGCUGGAGGAAGGUGGGGAUGACGUCAAGUCCUCAUGGCCCUUACGUGUUGGGCUACACACGUGCUACAAUGGUAUCUACAACAGGAAGCAAGACUGCGAAGUUAAGCAAAUCCCUAAAAGAUACCUCAGUUCGGAUUGCACUCUGCAACUCGAGUGCAUGAAGCUGGAAUUACUAGUAAUCGUGGAUCAGCGUGCCACGGUGAAUGCGUUCCCGGGUCUUGUACACACCGCCCGUCACACCAUGGGAGUUGGUUCUACCUUAAGGCAAGGUUUCAAACCCUUGACCACGGUAUAGUCAGCGACUGGGGUG